GCCAGAGAUACUUGGGGAACAAUUUUUCUCCUUGGCAAGUCUGUCUGGUCUUCAUACAGAAGAACAUCCCCUUGCAUGAGAGCACUGUUUCCUCAACUAGUCUGGUUGAAAGAAGAGCCUGGGGUCCUGGACCCCACCUCAGACCAACCAGAUCAGAACCUCCAGGUAACAGGCUUGGGAACCCCUGUUUACAGCAAGUGCCUCAGUGAUGCCAUCACACAGGCAAGUCUGGGAAAUGCUGGAAGAGAGGCCACCUCUCAGCUCCAGAGAACACAGUAGAUCAGUCCCACAGGGAGUUUGGUCUCCGCUGAGCGGGAAGAGCCUCUUGGCCCAUGCAGCAAAGCCCCCACUUGCUCUGCGUCCUUGCCAACACUGGGUGCUGUCAUUUUUAUAGCAGCCAUCCAGGUUACCCAGCUUUAAACGAAACUGCCCACCGUCUUUCACGAAGCAUACAACACUUUUGACUGAUUUCGUCUGCUCACAAGAUGGGCAGGGUGGUCCACACUGGCGAUUUGCCUCAGAAACGUUGUUAGUAAGUUGAAAGUUGUGCUCUAGUCUUUUUACCAACGUCAACUAUACAGAUAAUAUUUCUCCUAUGCCCUUAAAUUGAUCAUUAAGGACAUAAUUCACAAUAAUAUUCCAUAUUAUCUGUGUAGGAACACAUAUUGCUUCAGAAUUAAAGAAUUCAGAGAAAUCUCCUUCUCACAAAAAAAGUGGCACCACAAGCUGGACAAUGGGCACCACAUCCUAAGUAUGUUUUAAUAUAAAUUCAUGUAAGGUGCUCCAAAAUUUCAUUAACUAUUUUAUAGAAAGAGCAAUGCCUGUGAGGCUUCUGUUUCUAGCAGAAAUAGAUGUAUUUAUUUUGCAGUAAUUUUUUUUUUUUUUAGCUUUUUGUUUUGUUUUGUUUUGUGACAGAAUCUGUCUCUUUUGCCAGGCUGGAGUGCAAUGGCAUGAUCUUGGCUCACUGCAACCUCCGCUUCCCAGGUUCAAGCGAUUCUCCUGCCUCAGCCUCCUGAGUAGCUGGGAUUACAGGCACCCACCA